rnacentral:lncRNA from 1 species
CUGCGGGGUCCCAGUACGGCCUCUCGCUGCCCUCACCCCCAUCUCUUUCCACAGUUGCCUUCCCGGCUCCAGUGCGCAGCAACCCCAGGGCAGCUGCCACUGGUGGUUACCCGUGGCUGGUGGAUGCGUGGCGUGGUGGCAGCACAGCCGGUGCUGCCGGUUGUUUGGGGACCACUGAGAGAUACUACAAUGAUGCCGGCAUCACUCGGUACAUCGCCCAGACGGAGCAGUUCGGAGCGGGGGCUGGCGAGGGGCCGGUUUACAGCACCAUCGACGUUGACAGUGAGGAGCUCUGCACAUUCCCCCGUCCCUUCUCACAGUAUGGGACCUCCUACCUUGGGGGGAGUUCCCAGCCAAUGGAUGCUGCAGCCUCCCAGGUGCCCCGUGGCCGGGCUGAGCACGGUAGGGUGGUCGGAUGGGUGGGGGCACAUGUGGGUGCUCGUGGUGCGGUGCCCUCCCCACAGCCCCCCCAGCAUCCCUCCUUGGCACAGGGGCCAAAGCAAAGCUGGGGCAAGCAGUGAAACCACCGGUGGUGAGCUGGACAGAGCUGCUGCCCCCACCACCCUCAGCCAGUGAGCUCAGCCAGUGUGCCCAGGAGGAGGAGAAGGAGGAGGAAGAAGAAGAUGAAGAGGAAGAUGCAGCUGGAGGGUGAGUAUGGGGGCUUGGGGGCUGGGCAUGCUGCUCCCAGCACCUACUCUGUGGUCUCCACCCUGCAGGUUGGGGAUGGAGGUGUGGUACCGUGGUGAGGACGUGCCCUGUGCCACUGCUGCAUCCUCACCCACCACCUCGUCCGGCUGCCGUUCCACCGCCACGCUGACACCAUCGCCUCGCACCACGGAGGACAUCCCUCGCCUCCGCGACUUCGAUAGCUCCCUCCUGUCCUGGUAGGAGAUGGGCCUUGCUUGGUAUGGCCGUGCCAUUGGGGUCUGGAUGUCCCAUUGGGGUCCAGAUGUCCCAUCAAGGUCCAGAUGUCCCACCAUGGCCUGGGCGUUCCAUUGUGAUUCAGCCAUGUUGUCACUACCCAGCCCUGCCAUGCCAU